CACCAACGCCACAGUAUCAGACUUUGUUGAAUUAACUUGAAUACCCAUAAAAUAAAACCACGUGUGGAGCCGACAGACGGCCAUUUGAAGACCCGGCGCUCUUCGUUUAGAAGAAAGCCACUGAAAAGCACUUUCUCUUCUUUCUAGAAAAGCCCCUGGACUUUUGCCAUCUAUAUAUAAAGCAACGCAAAACCCUAGUUUUCUCUACGCCAGUCGCCAGAACAGAGAGAGAGAGAGAGAGAGGGAGAGAGGAGCUGCUGUGGAAGUUGUGUUUGUUUUAUCUGCUUGGGGAAGUCAUUCCAAGCAAGAAGACAGCUUCUGCAGCAGCGAGGGGGAAGUUAAAUAAAUAAAAAAAUAAUAAGAUGGGUCGCUCUCCCUAUCUCUCUCUCCCGGUCUAAGCUAGCUUCUCGCUGCUUCCAUUGCAGAUGGUCUAUCCCUAUCCAUCCAUCCAUCAACAGGCGAGGUUCUGCAGUCGUAUCACAUGAGUGUGUGUCGGCAAGCUUUGGUACUCGGAGGGUCUGGGUGUGGGUGUGGGUGUGGAGAAGAGAAGGCUGCGAUUAGAGAAGAGUCUGGAGCCGCUUCGGCGUGGGGUCCGGGCUACUACAGGCCAAUCAAUCAUAGAGCCGUGAUUGUCGAUUCAUGCAGUGGAGCUUCGAGAAAUGGUGUGUUGAACCAUCCGGUGAGACCGCACUAGACAACUGAGGAAUGAGAGGAUCCUGUGCUGUCCUUUGGACUUAUUGUCGAACCCACGUUUCUUUUUAUCAUAUGCCUUUGAAUUUUCCCUUGGUCAUCAAUGCUCGAAGACCCACUACUAUGCUUCCUUUAUAUAUUAUUAUUAUAAUAAUAAGAAUAAUAAUAAUGGCGUCUCUGUCUUUUAUCA